UGCGUAGGCGGACUAUUAAGUCAGUGGUGAAAUCCUGCAGCUUAACUGCAGAACUGCCAUUGAUACUGAUAGCCUUGAGUUUGAUUAAGGUAGGCGGAAUGUGUAAUGUAGCGGUGAAAUGCUUAGAUAUUACACAGAACACCAAUUGCGUAGGCAGCUUACUGAGCCGACACUGACGCUGAGGCACGAAAGCGUGGGGAUCGAACA
rnacentral:rRNA from 1 species